ensembl:lncRNA
UUUAAUUGCAGCGUUCUCUUUGUAAUUUCUUAUGUGUCUCACUUAAUUCUCCCUUCAAACGGUGGAUGUACCUUGUGUUUGUUUUCAGACUAGGCACCAGAGAUCUAAGAGCUUCUCCGACAGCCUUCUGCUGGCAGAUGAUGGCAAUGGGGGUGUGGUUGUCUCUGGCAUCAGAGGUGAUGCCAUGACCAAUCAAGGACUGAAAAAAGGAGAUGAAAUAGUUGGUGCCACCAUCAGCUUUGAUGACUUAAAAAAAGAUGAGAUCCUGGAUAUACUGAAGCUAAUUGAGCCAUAUAAUGACAAGAUUCAAGUUCUUACAAAACAAGAUUUGAAACCCAGCAAAAGUAUGGGGAACUUGGAUCUUGAAACUGUCAAGACUCCAGAUGAGAUGCUGAGGAAUUCAUACAACACAUUUUUCAACGCAAAAGUGAAGAAAUUCCUGAAGGACAAUCCAUCUUCAGGAGCCAUGCCGGGGAAUGUAUCUCCACAUGAAAACCCAGAGGAGUUGAAACCUGAGAAGGAAAGGGAUGCUACGUCUGUUGACCUAAACAUGGACUUGCCUUCUCUCAACGGUAAACCAAAAGUUGAUGUCACAGACUUUCUGAAAGCAGCAAAACAGAGACAAAAGGGCAAUGUGCCAACUACAGAUGUCAAGGGUCUAGACUCCUCUGACACUCCAAAGCCCAUUGAGAGUACCACAGAAACAGCAGAAAAUUGCUUGAGUGCAGAGGUUGCUUUACCUCAAGUGGACAUAAAAGCACCUGAUGAAAUGAGUGGAGGUACUGAGUUGCCUGUAGUAGAUGUUGUUGCAAAGAGUCCAGAUAUAUCUGAAGUAGACCCUUCAGGUUUAAUGCCUACAGCACCUGACCACAACAUUUGCGUAGGUGUAGACAUGGCAGAGCCCAAUGCAAACGUCAAAACUGACACCGAUAUCAGUGCAUCUCCUCCAGUCGUUUUAAGGGGAAAAGAUCAUGUGCAAUCCACACUUGAUGUCAGUCUCCCAGUUCUCCACGCUGAAAGUCCAGAGACAACAGUUAAGUUGACUGAUGACAUGCAAGUUCCAAGUUCAACUAUAGAAAUAGAUGUUCUGCCUUCAGACACUAAUCCCCCAGAAGUUGAAUUCACACCACCUAAUACCGACAUUCAUAUCCCUUCAAAAAACAAAACCAAGUCAUCUAAGAGGAAGUCAAAAAGCAGGGUGAGAGCACCAGAACUUGAUUUAGAUUCACCCUCAGGUUAUGAAUAUAGCUCGACUGGCAUACCUGACCUGAAUCUUGACGUUCCCUCAGCAUACAAAUAUGUCCCAGAUGCCUUACCAGAUCUUAACCUUGAUGUACCCUCAGCGUAUAAUUACGUCCCAAAUGGUUUACCAGACCUAAAUGUCGAUAUGCCCUCCGCAUAUGAAUACACAUCAAGAAAACUUGCUCAGGAAAAGCCAACCUUGAUCAUAGCAAGUCCCAAAACUAAGAGAAGAAUCAAAGCCCCAGAUUUAAAAGGUGAAGUUUCUAAAGGUGACCUCUCAAUUCCCCAAGCUGAAAUUGGUCUGAACGUUCCUGACCUGGAAGCAGAUCUAAAAGUGCCUGAUAUUGGCACUCUGCCUAAAGCAUCUGCUCUGGACGCUGGUG